AUUGAACGCUGGCGGCAGGCCUAACACAUGCAAGUCGACCUAGCGGCGGACGGGUGAGUAAUGUAUGGGGACUGCCCGAUAGAGGGGGAUAACUACUGGAAACGGUGGCUAAUUCCGCAUACUAUCGGAUAACCCAUGUGGGAUUAGCUAGUAGGUGGGGUAAAGGCUCACCUAGGCGACAAUCUCUAGCUGGUCUGAGAGGAGUAACAGCCAAACUGGGACUGAGACACGGCCCAGACUCUUACGGAGGCAGCAGUGGGGAAUAUUGCACAAUGGGCGCAAGCCUGAUGCAGCCAUGCCGCGUGUAUGAAGAAGGCCUUAGGGUUGUAAAGUACUUUCAGCGGGGAGGCGUUACCCGCAGAAGAAGCACCGGCUAACGACGUGCCAGCAGCCGCGGUAAUAC
rnacentral:rRNA from 1 species